rnacentral:tmRNA from 1 species
GGGGGCGAUUCGGAUUCGACGCCGGUAUCAAAACCUGAGGUGCAUGUCGAGAGGGUAGUAACUCUCGUUAAUCAAUUACUGCAACUUUAUAGUUGCCAACGACAAAAGCUACGCCCUAGCAGCUUAAAAUAGCUUGCUAGCGAUUGCCACCGGGAUGCCUGUAAACCAGUGUUUUGCAAUUGUCAUUUAGAACAGGAUCGCCAGCCUAGCGCGCUUGACGCGACGCGGUUAAAAGUUAUCAAGCUCGCCCAAAUCACCCUGCCCGUCGGGCGGAUACGGGUUAACUCAAUAGACGACGCUAUGCAUGUAGAGCCGAAGGCCGCGAACUGACGGACGGGGGUUCAACUCCCCCCGCCUCCACCA